rnacentral:rRNA from 1 species
GAGUUUGAUCUUGGCUCAGGAUGAACGCUGGCGGCGUGCCUAAUACAUGCAAGUCGAGCGAACAGACGAGGAGCUUGCUCCUCUGACGUUAGCGGCGGACGGGUGAGUAACACGUGGAUAACCUACCUAUAAGACUGGGAUAACUUCGGGAAACCGGAGCUAAUACCGAAUAAUAUAUUGAACCGCAUGGUUCAAUAGUGAAAAACGGUUUUGCUGUCACUUAUAGAUGGAUCCGCGCCGCAUUAGCUAGUUGGUAGGGUAACGGCUUACCAAGGCGACGAUGCGUAGCCGACCUGAGAGGGU